UGAAGAGACUGUUUGUCAACAACAACUUCUUACAGAGGAAUUAUUCAUUUAGCUUUGAGCAUUCGAGAUGGCUAAAACAAAAAAGAACAUUAGGGAGAAAAGGUACACGGAAGAAGGUGUACAAAAAUGUUUAAGUGAGAUAAGGAGCGGAAUAUCUAUCCGUAGUGCAUGCAUACGCUUUGGAAUACCACGAUCAACUAUAAAAUUCCGCAUGAGUAAAAAUUACAAGCAACAAAUUAGAUCCGGACCACCUACUGCUCUUCGAUCGGAACAAGAAACAGAACUGGUUAAUUGGAUAUUAAAGAUGGCCCGGAAGGGUUUCCCAGUUACUAAGUACCGAUUAAUAAAUAGUGUGAUGAAUUAUCUCGAACAUAAUCCCAAUAUGAAUGUCUUCAAAAACGGCAAACCAAGUAGCGCAUGGUUCAAUUCCUUCAUGAGUCGUCAUAAGGUACUUUCUAUUCGCAAACCGGAAAGUGUCACAAAGGCAAGUGCCAAUGUUACAGAACUCGAUAUACGGAAUUGGUUCAAGGAAGUUUUAACGGUUUUGGAAGAAGAGGGACUAUCUGAAGUGCUUAUGAGCGCAGGCAGUACUAAAUGGUGAUGAAUCUUCAUUCUAUCUUGAUCCAUCCAUCGAUAAAGUAAUCUCAAGACGUGGAGAAAAAAAUGUAUAUAAAGUCGACCAGGGCCCUACCAAAAAGAAUAUAACCGUUAUGUUCACUUGUGCGGCUGAUGGAAAGAUGUUUCCUCUUAUGGUUGUUUUGCCAUAUAAAAAAAUACCAACCGACAUAACUCGAAGUGUACCUGCUGAUUGGGGACUAGCUAAAACCGAUUCUGGUUGGAUGACAAGAUCGUGCUUCUUAAAAUAUAUAAAGUUUAUACUUCAACCGCAGUUGGCAAAGGAAAAUGCGCUACCAGCUAUAUAUUUUAUUGAUGGUCAUUCUUCUCAUACUGCUUGGGAAACUGCAGAAGAAUGCCGCAAGAUUGAUUGGACUCGACACCCUUGGCAUUCGACGUAAUUUGUCCCGUGCUAUGUUGAUCGCCGACAUGUUGAACAACAAAAUAGACUGCCCUGCACUCCUCAGCGAAAUUUCUUUAAAUGUACGCAGUAGAGCUCUUCGGAAUAACGUCUUUCUUCGAUUGCCUCUUAGCCGUACGAAUUAUGGAUAUAACGGUGCUAUUAUUGGUCUACAGCGAACUUUCAAUGGAGUAUCUGCCGGAUUCGAUUUUCACAUUACGCGUAGCAGAAUUCAAACAAAUUUUUUAAACAUACUUAGAAAUAGGAAUAGUUUUUAAUCAUUGGGACUACACAUUGUCUGUUGAUUACAUGUAAAUAAAUAAACAAAUAAAUAAGAUGGGCAUACACUUAGUUUGCCUGUAUGCAAACUGCACUAGAAUACUACAGCCCCUUGAUGUUGCGGUAUUCAAACCUAUGAAAAGUUCAUGGCUUAAAGUGGUAGAUGAUUGGAAAUGUUUAAAUCCUAAUAAAUAUUUAAAAACAGAAAA